GAAUGGGCAUGUGUCCUAGAAGCAUGUUCUGAGGAAUUCCGUCCAGAGCCAAGUCCAUACAGACUGACAGGCAACAACUGGUUUUUCUCAUUUUCUGGAAAGACAUCCUGGUACGAGAAUAGAACUCAUGACACAGGCUGCUGGGCUCUACCCUUUGGCCUAGAACUCCCUGGUGUCUGUGUGCCCCACACCCCAGGGCACGUGGCAGCCUCCCAGGGUGAGCGCUGUGGAAGAAUUUGUGCCGGGAGAUGUGUUCCACCCACCUCCCUGUUUUGCUGUGCUCAGGCUCACACAAGCUCUUCUUUGGUCAGUCUGUCUGAUACCCCAGUGUCGAAGGAACAGACCACCCCACCCACUCCGUCUGUAUGGUGUGCAUGGGGCAUGUGACCCAGGCAGAGCAAAUCCGAGUCAACGCCUGGGUCAGAGGGGACAUGUGUUCAAAGCUGGAGCAAAGUCAUCAUCUGGGAUUUCCGCAAGUGCUGCAGGAAAGAUCAGUGGCUGGAGUGAAUCUUUAUCCAGAGAUACUGACUGCUGUGCUGUUUCCAUCUCUCAUCAGGAGAAGGAGUCAGUCCUGGGUAAUCUGGCCAGAAAAGCAAAGCUGACGGAAGACCUGUUUAACCAAGUCCCAGGAAUUCACUGCAACCCCUUGCAGGGGGCCAUGUACGCCUUCCCUCGGAUCUUCAUUCCUGCCAAAGCUGUGGAGGCUGCUCAGGCCCAUCAAAUGGCUCCAGACAUGUUCUACUGCAUGAAGCUCCUGGAGGAGACUGGCAUCUGUGUCGUGCCCGGCAGUGGUUUUGGGCAGAGGGAAGGCACUUACCACUUCAGGAUGACUAUCCUCCCUCCAGUGGAGAAGCUGAAAACGGUGCUGCAGAAGGUGAAAGACUUCCACAUCAACUUCCUGGAGAAGUACGCGUGAGGACGCCUGAGCCCCAGCGGGAGACUUGUCCUCGGCUCUUCCUCCCAAUGCCCGCCAGGCUGAACUCGCCUCCCCCGUGACUCUGCCUCGGGCCUCGCAGAGGCCGCUGGUCACUUCGUCAUCAUUUUGCCCCCGGAGACGUCUUUCUUUGUGCCUUGAUGUUGAGAGCGCCUCUCUUUUGAGCAAACAAGCAUUCUAUAUGCAACCAGAGUAGAGGGGACCUGCUCAGCAGGUGUGACCAGGGUUCUCUGAAUCUGUUAUUGUUUUUGCUUCUGGAAAGUUCGUUUGGGGUUUACAACAACUAGGAUGUGUUGGGUGAGAUGUUUCAGAUCUGGAGAAAUGAGCAGGUGUCGGGAAAUGUGUGACUUAACCGUGGUGAGGGCUGGAAAUCCAAACUCACCACCAUGAUCUGUGAAAUAAAGCCCUUAGCGGUGUGAAGCAUCCGGUCCUUUGAACAGAAGGGCCUGGAAGGCCCCUGGGGCUGAGAAAGGGUCCGUCCGGUGGCCUGGAGGCAGGCGCGGGGAGCGCGCAGUAGCGCGUGGACUGGGCAGGAUGUUGCACUAGCUUGGGGUAGAUGCUGGGGGCUGCGGCCACGGUCAGAGGGCCCCACGGUGAGGCGUGGGUGCGAGCCAGGCUGCAGGAGGAACUGGGCCUCCGCUUCCCAGCAACGCAGCCAGGCCUGAGAAUUCUGUGCGCCUGGCGGGCUUUGGGAAUGAGGGGUUCCCUUGAACAUGCGUAGGCUGGAACCCCGUCUGAGAGGUCUCCCUGAAUUUCAGUGACACAUGGUGCAGCCCAGCAGUGUCCCACUUCCGUGGAGAGUGCUGCUGGAAUGGUGUGGACCCCAUCCCGCGGGUGACCGGUGCCUGUUCUCCCCGGGGCCUGACCGAGCCUGUGAGCACACCGCCCCCUGCUGGCGACAUCGGGGAAACGAGGGCUGAAAAUAUCCUCCCCACAAGGGCAAUCCCCGGGACCUGCCGAGCAGCCAAGGCCCUGUCCUUUCUUGAAUGGUGGCGAGCUGAAUCUGGUCGGUUUCCUAGCUUUUAGGUGGUAAAAGUGCCUGGCAGCUUGGCUGCUGUGGAGGAGUCAGUGAGUCGUGGUUGGAGGUUCAUUGCCGUGCUUUCAGGCAGAGUGUUUUGCCUUCAUGUUAGCUUCCGGCUCCCCUCCCAGGCUGCAGACUCUGACCUGUGGCAUCAGGCUUCUCCCAGGACAGGAGGGUGCCAUCCCGCAGCAUGCGGCUUCUCUGCCAUUAGCAGCCCUGGGCGGGCCGACCACACUCGAGGCUGCGGUGCUACGGGCUUAGCCCUCGCCUCCCUCACUGGGAGCUUCCCCAUCCUCCCUGCCUUCCCCAGUGGGAAGUUAGGGAAGCUCAGGAGCCUGGGACCCCGCAUGUCCCAAAAUGGGAUUGGAGAAGCUGGAGAGAAAGCAGAAGAGGCCGAGGAGUGAGGCAGCAGCCUCUAUGCUGUGAUUUCCACACCGGGUCCGUGCAGAGGAAACAGAAACUCCCAACUGUCCUUACCCACCGACAUCACAGCCCCUAUGAAGAAAGUAGCCACAAUCUCAAAUAACAAAAGGGAAUGUUCUAAAACUUUUCCUUCCUUAAAAAAUGGAGAAAAUUGCACUUGUGCUUGCUGUGUGGUAUAUAAACCAGGAUUAGUCCCAGAGUCGUGAGGUUUCUGGUGAAAAGGUUAAAUCGUAGAAGCUAGUAUAUUUUUUAUAUUUUUGUAACAAUUGCUUUUUUCAUGGGGGAGGUGGGGUUAGUAUUUAUAGUCCUAACAAGUCCAGUAAUUUUUAAUAAAUCUUCAGAUUAUAAACAGCCCCUAAAAACUUUACAACGUUUACACAGUUUUUUAAAAAGAGACUGUAUACACUUGAUUUGCUUUCAAAAUAAAUAAGGUCAGCUAGUCUAGGAGGUUAACGUCGGGUAGGAAUGCUGAUCAUGAUAGGUUUGGUUUUCUACAGAUUCUGUUCCGGUGCCUUUCCUGUCCAGGCACCACCUGAGAAAGUUGUCAUUUGAGGUCGCACUUGGAAGUUACAUCUAUGAAGUUUCUGUCAUUCGUCCAGAUCUGUGUGUGUAGCAUGUGCUGAGGAAGCACGUGCUGGGCUGUGCCUCAGACAGUGCAUCACCGGGCACCCAGAGGCUUGCCUGGCUAUUCCUGUUCUGGUGUGUGUGGAGUGUUGGGGAGGAACAGAUGCAGAUCAACCUGUGGCUGUUUUCCCAUCUAGGUUCUCACAGGUAUCUCCUGACAGAGGUACUUAACAAUGGCUCUGCUGGAAAUUUCUAUAAAUAAAAUGUCCAAAAUGG
rnacentral:sRNA from 1 species